UAGGAGGUUUUCCUGCACCUCUUUGAGAACCUACAGAAAUUAUAUUGAAGAUUGUUAUGUGGACUAAAUCGGGCAUGUCACAUGUUUUGGCAAAGUGUUACAGUAAUCCCACCCGUUUUACCGACCUCUUCGGGCAAUUUGGCUGGACCGGCGGCGAAAUUGAUAACCAUGUUUUCGAAGUUAUGGAGCGUGUGCGAUCUGUGAACCUCUCUGGGAAGCCGCUAAAUAUUGACUAAAGUGUUGAGCAGCCAGUAUUCCCAGUCGCUGAUAAACGAGACGAAGGCAGCGGAAAGAACAGCAACAAGUCACCGGGUAAUAAACAAAACGCGUGCGGAAAAACAGACUCAAACUCGCCCGACUGGACAACGAACUCGGUUGGCCCAGGGACGGAAUGCUCCGAAUAGAGGGUAUUUACACUGGAACCUCAGAUUUUCGACUGCGCCCCUGGACAAUCCACGAAGCCAGACAAAGACCGGCGGUACGGCGAAUUCGAUCAAAACAAGUCGGCAAACCGCACAGCGAACAUAUUCGCAUAUACUAUAUGCAACGCACGAAAACAAAAUGCUCCCCAUGGGCCCCCUUUAACCCCCUUUUACCCCCUUUUUUCAAUCCAGCGCUGGUUGCCAUGCACUUUUCGAUGGCAUGACAAUAACAACCGAACGACUGGAUUCGCAGACGAGUAAACAAGCUGCAAGCAAAGUUUAUUUCAGCGGAAUAUUUGGCAUUGCAUUUCCCUAUAUACCAAUCACCAUUUAAGCACUUUGCUUAUACAAAAAUAAGUUAAAUAUGAUGGAUAAGUAUUUUACUUUAA